UAAACGAUGGACACUAGCUGUCGGGCCGAUUUAGGUUCGGUGGCCAAGCGAAAGUGAUAAGUGUCCCACCUGGGGAGUACGUCGGCAACGAUGAAACUCAAAGGAAUUGACGGGGGCCCGCACAAGCGGUGGAGCAUGUGGUUUAAUUCGAUGAUACGCGAGGAACCUUACCAGGGCUUAAAUGUAGUGGGACAGGCUUAGAGAUAGGCUUUUCUUCGGACUCAUUACAAGGUGCUGCAUGGUUGUCGUCAGCUCGUGCCGUGAGGUGUCAGGUUAAGUCCUAUAACGAGCGCAGCCCCUACCGUCCAGUUGCCAGCGAGUAAUGUCGGGGACUCUAACGGAACUGCCGUUGCAAACCGUGAGGAAGGUGGGGAUGACGUCAAAUCAUCACGGCCCUUACGUCCUGGGCUAC
rnacentral:rRNA from 1 species